GCCUGCCUUUGUUUGGUGCUUGAUUGGAUUCCAGUCACCAGAGGGGAAUGUGCUUCUAAGUCAAGCAAGUGAUGUAGCUGAUGUAACAUGAAGAACCAGCUGGUUCUCCUCCCCAGUCGUCACACUGAGUCCUGGUUUCUGUGGUCGUGUUCCUCCUCGGUGUCCAUCCAGCAGAGCUGUUGUCCUCCUCACAGCUCAGAGAGAAAGACUCUCCUUUAAACAGCUGAGAGCUGCUGGGACUCACAGUCAGAGAGGCUAGAGGAAGAGAAGAAAUCCGAAUCAAACUCAGAUAUGAGCCGACAGACACGUUUUGUCGGUUUUCAAAUUUAACUCAAUGUUGGUUAAGAUCUGGCUACAUGUGUCCUACUUGUAAAUAUAUUAUAAAUAUAUUAUUAUAUAUAAAUAAAGUAAAUAUAUUUUUCUUUUUCCACUUCUUCUGUAGCCGCUGCAUCCUGCUGUGCAGUGUCUGAAUUACAUUUAUAUAGCAGCAGUUUUAACUUUGGCUCCAGUCUGCAACACUGUGGCAUCAAAACUGCAUUCAGUGUUUUAUUGUACUUGUAAAGUGGCUGUUUCCCUCCACAAACACUGUCCUAAACACUAACUGUUCGAUCAGGGAGUGAAUAACUUUUCAGCUGUGACAGAAGACGUUUGCUCACCUUGGUUUGUUGUGCAGCUCAGCAGUGAGGUCAGAACUAAAGAGAAAUCACACUCAGGUUGGUUUGAGGUGUUACAUGCAACAAGACAUCUGGACUUUCUACAACACAGAACAACCUGCUUGUAGUGCACAGAAAAACAGCCACACAUUGAUAUUAGAUAUGGAAACAACAUAUUAUUUUUAUUGAAGGACACAUUCAGUGUUUUUUAAAUCCUUGCUUGGACAGCAGUAAGUAAAAGCAGAUGAGCUGUUCAAGUGCAGAAAAGACAUGCAGACUCCAAAGGGUUAAUCAAAGACUUAAAAAGGCUACAGCUCCUUUGAUUGCAAAGUGUUUGAAGUUUGGUGUUUGUUUGUUGUUUUACUGUUUUACACAAGCUUUAACAUGUAGUUAUCACAUCUGACUAAACUGAUUAACUGAUGAACUAAAAGACUAAUUCAUGUGAAUGAUUGACAGAUUGAUCGACAGGUUCAUUUCAACUCAUUUAUUAUUUUUGUUUAAUUUACAAUAAUGUUCUCCUCUGUAGAACAUCAUUCACAUCAUAUAUUGUAAGAAUUCAAAUAACUACGUAUUGUUUGAAAAUGAAAACUCGCUGUUUUAUU